UUGCAGGAGUGGGUCGUGACUGCUGUUCCAUGUUUGUGAAAGGCGACCUCAGGGAGAAGAACGUGGAUCGGGAGGUCCCAGGUGGAUCUGCAUGUCCAGAGGCUCCAUGAGAGGUGUCUUACAGCCAGGCGCAAGGCCACAAAUGCCCCGAGGUCAGCCUUCGGUCCGGAGGCUAUUGAAGUAAGUCCCAAGGCCGUGAGUCAUUGACCCUCGGGAUGACGUGGGAUGUGUGUUCGCUGAGACUUUUCUCCGAGGUUCUCUCGGUGCCAUUAGUAGUCACCAGAGGGGCAGAGAACGGAGAGAGAGUCCUCUAUGCGAAGCAUCCCCAGAGCACCCCGUGCUGUCCGCUCAGAGCACCUCGGAGCAGCUCUUGGCUCCGCGCGUGACAUCAAAGGGAGGGUGCUGGGGCUGUGGCCGGGUCCGCUCCAGCUGGCUCUUGAGUCGGGACAGCCGUGCCCCGAGAAGCCGAAGACGGGAGGUCAGCCCCGCGUCCCUCUGCUGUGUCUGGAAUGACUUGAAUGAGCGAACGUUUUCCUCUCGCAUUCUAGCUGCUCAUCACUUUCCCCUCUGCCUACCCAUUCAAUAAACCUUACGGACUUGC